UACGUAGGGAGCAAGCGUUGUUCGGAUUUACUGGGCGUAAAGGGCGCGUAGGCGGCGUGUCAAGUCGGUUGUGAAAUCUCCGGGCUUAACUCGGAACGGCCAAUCGAUACUGACGUGCUAGAGUGCAGAAAGGGCAAUCGGAAUUCUUGGUGUAGCGGUGAAAUGCGUAGAUAUCAAGAGGAACACCUGAGGCGAAGGCGGGUUGCUAGGCUGACACUGACGCUGAGUGCGCGAAAGCCAGGGGAGCAAACGGG
rnacentral:rRNA from 1 species